UACGUAGGGGGCUAGCGUUGUCCGGAUUUAUUGGGCGUAAAGAGCGCGUAGGCGGCCGAGUAAGUCCGACGUGAAAUCUGGAGGCUCAACCUCCAGCGGUCGUUGGAAACUACUCGGCUAGAGUCCGGAAGAGGAGAGUGGAAUUCCUGGUGUAGCGGUGAAAUGCGCAGAUAUCAGGAAGAACACCGAUGGCGAAAGCAGCUCUCUGGGACGGUACUGACGCUGAGGCGCGAAAGCCAGGGGAGCAAACGGG
rnacentral:rRNA from 1 species